rnacentral:rRNA from 1 species
AUAUGGUAGUUCUUUCAGAUAGUCGAAUGACUUGGAAAAGUCAGUCAAAGAGGGUAAAAACCCCGUAGACGAAAUGUGGAAGACACCUAGGAGGAUCCUGAGUACGGCGGAACACGAGAAAUUCCGUCGGAAUCCGGGAGGACCAUCUCCCAAGGCUAAAUACUCCCUAGUGACCGAUAGUGAACCAGUACCGUGAGGGAAAGGUGAAAAGCACCCCGGAAGGGGAGUGAAAUAGAACCUGAAACCGUGUGCCUACAACAAGUCAAAGCCCGUUAAUGGGUGAUGGCGUGCCUUUUGUAGAAUGAACCGGCGAGUUACGAUUGCAUGCGAGGUUAAGUUGAAGAGACGGAGCCGCAGCGAAAGCGAGUCUGAAUAGGGCGUUUGAGUAUGUAGUCGUAGACCCGAAACCAUGUGAUCUACCCAUGUCCAGGUUGAAGGUGCGGUAAAACGCACUGGAGGACCGAACCCACGUACGUUGAAAAGUGCGGGGAUGAGGUGUGGGUAGCGGAGAAAUUCCAAACGAACUUGGAGAUAGCUGGUUCUCUCCGAAAUAGCUUUAGGGCUAGCCUCGGAAUUGAGAAUGAUGGAGGUAGAGCACUGUUUGGACUAGGGGCCCAUCUCGGGUUACCGAAUUCAGAUAAACUCCGAAUGCCAUUCAUUCAUAUCCGGGAGUCAGACUGUGAGUGAUAAGAUCCAUAGUCGAAAGGGAAACAGCCCAGACCACCAGCUAAGGUCCCAAAAUAUAUGUUAAGUGGAAAAGGAUGUGGGGUUGCACAGACAACUAGGAUGUUGGCUUAGAAGCAGCCAUCAUUUAAAGAGUGCGUAAUAGCUCACUAGUCGAGUGACCCUGCGCCGAAAAUGUACCGGGGCUAAACAUAUUACCGAAGCUGUGGAGUACACCUUUAGGUGUAUUGGUAGGAGAGCGUUCUAAGGGCGUUGAAGGCAGAUCGUGAGGACUGCUGGAGCGCUUAGAAGUGAGAAUGCCGGUAUGAGUAGCGAAAGACAGGUGAGAAUCCUGUCCACCGAAUGACUAAGGUUUCCUGGGGAAGGCUCGUCCGCCCAGGGUUAGUCGGGACCUAAGCCGAGGCCGACAGGCGUAGGCGAUGGAUAACAGGUUGAUAUUCCUGUACCCGUUGUUUUUGUUUGAGCAAUGGAGGGACGCAGGAGGCUAAGGAAUGCAGACGAUCGGAAAUGUCUGUCCAAGCAGUAAGUCUGAAGAGGAGUCAAAUGCUUCUUUUCUUAAGGACAAGCUGUGAUGGGGAGGGAAAUAAUAGUACCGAAGUUCCUGAUGUCACACUGCCGAGAAAAGCUUCUAGUGAGAAAACAGCGGCCCGUACCGCAAACCGACACAGGUAGUCGAGGAGAGAAUCCUAAGGUGAGCGAGAGAACUCUCGUUAAGGAACUCGGCAAAAUGACCCCGUAACUUCGGGAGAAGGGGUGCUGAUCAUACGAUCAGCCGCAGUGAAUAGGCCCAAGCGACUGUUUAUCAAAAACACAGGUCUCUGCAAAAUCGUAAGAUGAAGUAUAGGGGCUGACGCCUGCCCGGUGCUGGAAGGUUAAGAGGAGUGCUUAGCGCAAGCGAAGGUACGAAUUGAAGCCCCAGUAAACGGCGGCCGUAACUAUAACGGUCCUAAGGUAGCGAAAUUCCUUGUCGGGUAAGUUCCGACCCGCACGAAAGGCGUAACGAUUUGGGCACUGUCUCAACGAGAGACUCGGUGAAAUUUUAGUACCUGUGAAGAUGCAGGUUACCCGCGACAGGACGGAAAGACCCCAUGGAGCUUUACUGUAGUUUGAUAUUGAGUGUCUGUACCGCAUGUACAGGAUAGGUAGGAGCCGUAGAAAUCGGAACGCUAGUUUCGAUGGAGGCGCUGGUGGGAUACUACCCCUGCGUUAUGGCCACUCUAACCCGCACCACUAAUCGUGGUGGGAGACAGUGUCAGAUGGGCAGUUUGACUGGGGCGGUCGCCUCCUAAAAGGUAACGGAGGCGCCCAAAGGUUCCCUCAGAAUGGUUGGAAAUCAUUCGAAGAGUGUAAAGGCAGAAGGGAGCUUGACUGCGAGACCAACAAGUCGAGCAGGGACGAAAGUCGGGCUUAGUGAUCCGGUGGUUCCGCAUGGAAGGGCCAUCGCUCAACGGAUAAAAGCUACCCUGGGGAUAACAGGCUUAUCUCCCCCAAGAGUCCACAUCGACGGGGAGGUUUGGCACCUCGAUGUCGGCUCGUCGCAUCCUGGGGCUGUAGUCGGUCCCAAGGGUUGGGCUGUUCGCCCAUUAAAGCGGCACGCGAGCUGGGUUCAGAACGUCGUGAGACAGUUCGGUCCCUAUCCGUCGCGGGCGUUGGAAAUUUGAGAGGAGCUGUCCUUAGUACGAGAGGACCGGGAUGGACUUACCGCUGGUGUACCAGUUGUUCUGCCAAGGGCAUUGCUGGGUAGCUAUGUAGGGAAGGGAUAAACGCUGAAAGCAUCUAAGUGUGAAGCCCACCUCAAGAUGAGAUUUCCCAUUUCUUUAAGAAAGUAAGAUCCCUGAGAGAUGAUCAGGUAGAUAGGUCAGGAGUGGAAGUACAGUGAUGUAUGGAGCGGACUGAUACUAAUCGAUCGAGGACUUAACCAA